rnacentral:rRNA from 1 species
UACGGGGGGGGCAAGCGUUGUUCGGAAUUACUGGGCGUAAAGGGCUCGUAGGCGGCCAACUAAGUCAAACGUGAAAUCCCUCGGCUUAACCGGGGAACUGCGCUUGAUACUGGAUGGCUUGAGAUUGGGAGAGGGAUGCGGAAUUCCAGGUGUAGCGGUGAAAUGCGUAGAUAUCUGGAGGAACACCGGUGGCGAAGGCGGCAUCCUGGACCGGCAUUGACGCUGAGGAGCGAAAGCCAGGGGAGCAAACGGG